AUGUAGUGAAUUAUUUUUAGUUAACAUAUUGUAAAUUAGGAAUGUAGAGAAUUGAAUGUAGUUAGAAGUAAGUAUAGUAGACCUUUGCAUGUAGGAAUGUGUUGAUUCAUUUCCUGUCUAGAGUAAAGCAGCAAGGCUAGUUCACCUUAUUCUCAGGUGAUGAGAAAAACAUUAAACGGAAAUGCAGACGUAGCCAUUAGGAGUCGGCAGAAAUAUGGGAAAACGCUAACCGAAAGGUUGUGAAAGGAAGUUGAAGAGAGAUCUAGACAGAAGGGCCAAAACUUCGAAGAUAGCAGGAGGUUACGAGAGUCAUGAUGGGCAACGUGCAGCUGAUCGGGCUACUUCUAACAGACCACCUCCUGGUGAUGUUCUUCUGGGUUUCGACACCUACCGACAAAUCUACAGGGCGCCAAAAACCAGACAAGUAUCAUCAACCUCACCGCCGUAAAAAAAUCAAAAUCACAAAGCACUUCAUAAUUCAUCAUCCACAUAUCCCACCGUUCAAAGCUACUUGACAUAUGCAAUUGAGAAGGCGAAGUUAAAUACGUAAAGCUGCUGUAGUGUGACGCUGUGACAGAAAUCGAAGUCGAGUUUCAAGGUCAAGAACGUGUGGAGCUUGACCUCCAGGUUUUUAAGACUCGAUGUUUGUGUCCCAUAUUUCCAAGCGAUUGCCCUACGUGUUCUAAAGUUUAAUAACGUGCUAUUGAAUUCUGCGCAGUUAACACACGUGCAUGCUCUGUUUGCGUACUGCGUAAACGUGCGAAAAUCACCGUAAUCAGCAGCGUCGCAGCUCGAUGGCUGUCAUCGUGUUAACACGUU